GCAUCGGUGGUUCAAUGGCAGAAUUCUUGCCUUCCACAUGGCCGACCAGGGUUCGAUUCCCAGCCGAGGCA
rnacentral:tRNA from 1 species